AUUGAGAUCUGGUUGAUUCUGCCAGUAGUCAUAUGCUUGUUUCAAGGAUUAAGCCAUGCAUGCCUCAGAAUAACUGCUUUGCAGGAGUCUGCGCAUGGCUCAUUACAUCAGACGCAAUCUGCCGCAAAAAUGUAGCGGUCUCGCUAAACUGGAUACCUUGGCGAAACGCCAAGCUAAUACAUGAAUCAAAGGGAUCACCCCAUAACACAGGCGAAGGGGCUUGCCCUGGAGUCUGGUGGUUGACCCUGCGGAUGAAUGAAAGUAAGACUCAACGCCUCGCAAGGGGCAGUAUCACCGAGUAGUGCUGAAUCAAUUCAUCUUUGCGUAAGCCGGAUUUCCGGCGUUUUUUGACGAACAACUGCCCUAUCAGCCAGUGAUGGCCGUGUAGUGGACUGCCAUGGCGUUGACGGGAGCGGGGGAUUAGGGUUCGAUUCCGGAGAGGGAGCCUGAGAAACGGCUACCACUUCUACGGAGGGCAGCAGGCGCGCAAAUUGCCCAAUGCCAAAAAACUUGGUGAGGCAGCGAAAAGAAAUAGGCCUCCUUGACACCAUCCGGUGUCUGGGAGAUUCCAAUGGGGGAUAUUUAAACCCAUCCAACAUCGAGUAACAAUUGGAGGACAAGUCUGGUGCCAGCACCCGCGGUAAUUCCAGCUCCAAGAGCGUAUAUUAACGCUGUUGCUGUUAAAGGGUUCGUAGUUGAAUUGGGGGCGCCCAGGUAGACGUCCACGUCCCACUCUUUUACAAGAGUCGGCGACUGCCGCUCCUGGCG
rnacentral:rRNA from 1 species